UACGUAGGGGGCUAGCGUUGUCCGGAUUUAUUGGGCGUAAAGAGCGUGUAGGCGGCCAGGUAGGUCUGCUGUGAAAACUCGAGGCUCAACCUCGAGACGUCGGCGGAAACCAUCUGGCUAGAGUCCGGAAGAGGAGAGUGGAAUUCCUGGUGUAGCGGUGAAAUGCGUAGAUAUACGGAGGAACACCAGCGGCGAAGGCGGGUAGCUGGGCCAACACUGACGCUGAUGCGCGAAAGCUAGGGUAGCAAACGGG
rnacentral:rRNA from 1 species